CUAUGAGACUGGAUUUCAGGGAAAAGUUUUUUUAUAUUUAAUAAUUAAAGUUAUUUUAAUUUGUGAAGAAACAAUUAUAUAAAUUAAGGACAAGAAGACCCUAAGAAUUUAAGAAUUCUUAUGUUACUUAAAUAUAAAAUAGGAAUUCUUAGUUGGGGCAACUAAAAAACAUUAUAAACUUUUUUUCUUUAAAAUGACCCAUUAUUAAUGAUAAUAUGAUUAAAUACUCUAGGG
rnacentral:rRNA from 1 species